rfam:Onchocerca ochengi, WGS project CAWC01000000 data, contig: 02691_4092
AAACUUACCUGGCUGGGAGGGUCUCGUGAUCAACAAGACGGGACCUCCAUGGUGAGGCUGAACCAUUGCACUUUAGGUUUGGUUGACCCGUGUGGCCAUCCCGAACUGGGAUCAGCCAACAGCAUAAUUUUUGCGUUUGGGGUUGCGUUCGCGCUCCCCCGU